rnacentral:rRNA from 1 species
AUGGACCUGGCCCUUAACGCGGCGCAGUGGGUGGUCGGCAAGGCGCUUGCCCCUUUUGUGGAUGGCUUGCUCGAGGCUUGGGCUGCCAGUAAUGAGCUCGGCCCCAACAUCGAGGACCUUAGAAUGGAGCUGUUGCUUGUGAAGGCCACGCUGGAAAAUGCAGGUGACAAGCAGCUCGGGGGCCGCCAAGCCCUCGAGGAGCUGCUGCAGAAGAUGCGGGACUUGGCUCAUAAUGCUGAGGACAUGCUUGACGAGCUGGAUUAUUUCCGCAUCCAUGACAAGCUCUAUGGCACCUGUGAUGCUGCCAAUGAGGAUGCUAGAGGUUGUGGACACAAUCUCCUCCUGAAUGCACGCCACACCGCCAAAGCUGUUGGCAAGCUGUUUUCAUGUACAUCCGCUGCCGGUGAUCAUGUAGCAGAUGCAACGCAUUUUCUCUGCUGCGCUCCGCCAUGUGCCAGGCAUAGGGCACGUGCCAAUUCCUCCUCGGCGCGAGACACCAGUCUGGCCGGUGAGGAGGUCAGCAGCCGUGUGAGCAAGCUCGGUAAAUUUUUCCCUUGCUCUUCCAUUCCAAAUGUUCAUGCAACAAACUUGAUAUUUCAUAGGGUGGAUGUCUCUAAUAGAAUGAAGCAAAUUGUAGAGCAACUACAACCCAUGCGUCAAGAGGUUAUGACCAUCCUACGGGAUUGUAGGCUUAGAAUUGCUGCAGGCCCUGCCCAUAAUCGUCCCACCACAACAUCCGAAAGUCUAGAGCCAAAAUUGCAUGGGAGAGACCAUAUGUUGAAUAGCAUCAUCCAUGACAUCACUAAGGGUGAAUAUUGCGGGAAGGAUCUGACUCUUCCGCUGGUUGGUCCCGGAGGCAUAGGAAAGACAACUCUUACACAAUACAUACAUAAUGCUGAAGAAGUGCAUAACCAUUUUGAAGUAGUGGUUUGGACAUGUGUAUCUCUUGAUUUCAACCCAAAUAAAUUGCUAGAAGAGAUUAAAGGAAAAAUCCCUAAAGUUGAAGGGGAAAAAGAGGGUGAAGUAGGGAAGGUGAUUGAACAAAGACUAAAAUCUAAAAGGCUUUUACUUAUAUUGGAUGAUAUGUGGAAAUGUGGUGAUCGGGAGGAUUGGGAAAGGUGGUUGUUGCCAUUCAAGAUCACAAAAAAAAAAGGUAGCAUAAUUCUAGUCACAACUCGGUUUCAAGCACUAGCAGAAACAGUUAAAACAACCGGUCAUUAUAUAAAACUGGGAGGGUUAGAACCGCAAGAGUUUAGGAAGUUGUUCCUAGCAUAUGUCUUUGGCGACGAGGAUUCUGCAGAGAAUUACACUUACUUGCUCGAGACCGGAGAUAAGAUAAUGGAAAAACUAAAGGGAUCUCCUCUUGCGGCAAAAACUGUUGGUAGAUUACUGAGAGAUCGCCUCGAUUGGCAUCAUUGGAAAAUGGUCCUUGAAAGUAAAGAAUGGGAGAUGCAAACUGGCAACCAUGACAUUAUGCCUGCCUUGAAGCUUAGUUAUGACUAUCUCCCUUUUCAUAUCCAACAAUGUUUUUCCUAUUGUGCAUUAUUUCCUGAAGAUUACAAGUUCCGUAGCAAACAACUCAUUCACUUCUGGAUAGGACUCGAUAUUUUACACUCUAAUGGCCAAACCAGAACAACGAAAGACAUUGGUCUGAGCAAUUUAAAUUAUUUGGUCACCCAUGGUUUUUUCAGAAAAGAAGAAACCAGUGGAGAGCCAUAUUAUAUUAUCCAUGACCUGCUACAUGAUUUAGCAUUGAAGAUCGCGUCUCAUGAAUGUCUUUGCUUGAAUUUUCCAAAUGUGAGAUCAGUAGAAAUUCAUCCAUGCACCCGUCACUUGUCUAUAAGCAUAGAUAUUGUAGAUUAUAAUAAUGCAAUGGUUAGUGAAAACAUCAAGACUGAACUGAGAAGACUUCAGACAAGAUUCAAUGUUGAAAAAUUGCAAACUUUGAUGGUUUUUGGAGAAAUGGAUGGAAGCAUUGCUAGUAUUUUUGGUGAUUUUCUUAGGGAAGCAAAUGCUCUUCGUGUUCUUUUCUUAUCCAAAAUGUGUAUUCCUGUUGAAUAUAUGUUACAUAACUUUUCAACACUCGUUCACCUACGAUACCUAAGUCUAGGGACCGCGCUUGAGAUAUACUUACCGGAUACAAUCUCUAAAUUUUAUCAUUUAAAGAUUUUAGAUCUAGGAGAAUGGGAUGGAUAUCAUUAUGUGCCCAGAGACACGUGCAACCUUGCAAAAUUAUGUCAUAUUCCUACACAAUAUGAUGAACUUCAUUCUUCUAUUUAUAAUGUGGGGAAAUUAAAACUCUUACAAGAGUUAAAUGCAUUUAAAGUCAACAAAGAAAAUGAAGGGUUUGAACACAAGCAACUAGAGGAUUUGGUCGAGCUGAGGGAACUUGGCAUCUACAACCUUGAGAAAAUACACACACAAGAAGAAGCAGCCGAAGUAAAACUGAUAAACAAAAACUACUUGCGUGUUCUAACAUUAUCUUGGGAUAGUGAGCAAACUAAUGCUAAGCCUGAGAAUGAAGGUCUAGUUCUUGAGAGUCUUCAACCACAUAGAAAUCUCCAAGAGUUGUACAUUAGAGGGCAUAAAGGCCCAUCUUGUCCAACAUGGCUGGGUGAUAAACUCGAUGUUGAAGCUCUAAAGUCUCUUCAUCUCUUUUGUGUUUCUUGGGAUGUCUUUCCUUCUUUUGGGAGGAUGUGGGAUCUACGCGAACUAACACUGGAUCAUAUUUCCACAAUAAAGGAGUUUGGUCAAGAGCAAAGCUUUUGCAAGUUAGUAAAGAAGAUUACACUCACCGGCUUAGAAAAUUUUGAAAAAUGGGUACCACAACCCAAUCAUUUCUUCCCUCAUUUGCAAGUACUGAUUAUCACAGAUUGCCUUAAACUCUCAGAGUUGCCA